GCUUCCCCUUCUGAGAUGCUUUUCCAGUCCUCAGAAUGCACCACUUCCAAGUUGCAGGCUUAUGCUUUAACUUCUUUUGGGGCUUUCAGAAAAUCUUCCCAUUAAAGACAUAAAUGAAGCUUGUCCCACAUGGAUUUUUAGAUGGAAAGUUAAGAUUCAACUGAGAUGAUAAUCAAAUAUUGAUUCCUGAAAUGUAUAACCCUGCAUGGACAGCCUAAGUAAAUGGGUUCUGCUUGUGGGAACUAUGUAGGAGUUUGGGGGAUGAAAUCCUUCAUCCUGGGGACAGGCUGAGAAACAGCAGGGCAGCCCCACUGCUACCAUUACUGCAGCUUCUUCACAGCAGUGGUGUCUG